rnacentral:rRNA from 1 species
UACGUAGGGUGCGAGCGUUAAUCGGAAUUACUGGGCGUAAAGCGUGCGCAGGCGGUUCGUUAUGUCCGAUGUGAAAGCCCCGAGCCUAACUUGGGAAUGGCAUUGGAAACUGGCGGGCUGGAGUGCGGCAGAGGGGGGUGGAAUUCCACGUGUAGCAGUGAAAUGCGUAGAGAUGUGGAGGAACACCGAUGGCGAAGGCAGCCCCCUGGGCCGACACUGACGCUCAGGCACGAAAGCGUGGGGAGCAAACAGG